rnacentral:rRNA from 1 species
GACGAACGCUGGCGGUGUGCUUAACACAUGCAAGUGGUGCGACGAACCAGAGCUUGCUCUGGGGCAAAGCCGCGAACGGGUGAGUAACACGUGGGGUAAUCUACCCCCGAUGACCGGGACAACCCCGAGGAAACUCGGGCUAAUACCGGAUGUGGUACGGAGACAUAAGUCUCUUUACUAAAGGUAGCUUCGGCUUCCGCAUUGGGAGGGGCCCGCGGCCCAUUAGCUAGUUGGUGGGGUCAAGGCCUACCAAGGCAACGAUGGGUAGCUGGUCUGAGAGGACGAUCAGCCACACUGGGACUGAGACACGGCCCAGACUCCUACGGGAGGCAGCAGUGGGGAAUCUUGCGCAAUGCGCGAAAGCGUGACGCAGCAACACCGCGUGAGGGAAGACGGCCUUAGGGUUGUAAACCUCUUUCAGAUGGGACGAAGGUGAUGCGGUGAAUAGCCGAUGUCAUUGACGGUACCGUCAGAAGAAGCUCCGGCUAACUACGUGCCAGCAGCCGCGGUAAU